rnacentral:rRNA from 1 species
UGGGGAAUAUUGCACAAUGGGCGAAAGCCUGAUGCAGCAACGCCGCGUGAAGGAAGAAGGGUUUCGGCUCGUAAACUUCUAUCAAUCGGGAAGAAAGAAAUGACGGUACCGAAAUAAGAAGCCCCGGCUAACUACGUGCCAGCAGCCGCGGUAAUACGUAGGGGGCAAGCGUUAUCCGGAAUUACUGGGUGUAAAGCGCACGCAGGCGGCGUGACGCGUCAGAAGUGAAAUCCCCGGGCUCAACCUGGGAACUGCUUUUGAAACGGUCAUGCUUGAAUCUUGGAGAGGGUAGCGGAAUUCCGAGUGUAGAGGUGAAAUUCGUAGAUAUUCGGAAGAACACCGGUGGCGAAGGCGGCUACCUGGCCAUGUAUUGACGCUCAGGUGCGAAAGCGUGGGGAGCAAACA